UAUAAUCCAAAGUGUCCCAUCAAAGAGUGUUAUUUGCGGAUAAUUACAGUCGGGAGAAAAUUACACUCUUCACAAGACUGCUAGCGAGCGUUCAAAAGCAGGCGUACAAAUUGAAUAAAAGACACAAAAAUGACAAGCGUUAUUGCUUCACACGCAAUUUUUCGUCAAAAUAAUGCGUUCUCCUCGAGAUCGAAACUACUAGAAAUAGCAAUUUUCAAACCAAUCACACAGCACGGUUACAUAAAUGGGCACUCAGAUAGAUUCAUUAUUGAGGCACAUUGUAGGGUUGUAAUCACCAGGCCUGCGAAUCGGACUGUUGUGGUGCAUUUCCAUGUCAUUACUGCGGUGAAAGAAGGAUGGUUAUGAGGUUGCUGAAAGAAUCGAAGACGACGGCGAAGCACACGGACGACCUGCGUUUCCUGUGGCUGAGUUUGAGCAGCCUCGUCCAGCAACUGGGCACGGUCUUCGUGUUCACGCUCAUCACUCGAAUCUUCGUCAUGAGCAGCAUCUUCCUCGUCUCGGUGUACUUGCUUUCGCGCCCAGCACCAUUCUGGAACACCAAUCCUUCGACGGGGUAUUCAGAUACCACUUGAAGUUGGUCCUCCUCUUCUCACUCCUCCUCUUCUUCUUCAACACCGGAUACACCAUUCGAAAAUGCGCUACAGAGGACUUCCAGUUGCAGCUUUUAUUCAUUCGACCGACUAAAGAGCAACGGAUGGCUGGUUUCGAGUUUCAGAUCAAAGUAUUUCUCCAAGCUCUCCGAUCUUUUCCUCCGAUUGUGAGCGCAUCUGGUCUGUUUACAAUCACGCGAAAAACCUUUUUGGCGAUCUUAGCUUCAGCUUUGACAAACUUCCUCAUCAUGGAGCAGUUCAAAGUGUCAGAGAAGGGAUGUCAGGCUGCCAAAAUCGCACGCAUAAUGCGACGGGCACUUGCUGAGCAAUCAUCAUCCACCGCCAAAAAAAGGAGAUCGCCUUUCAAUCAGAAAACUUGUUGGCGUCAAGCUUCUCACCAGUCAAAACAGUGCUAUUGUCGAAUUUAUAGGAUCUGUUUAUAAUCAAAAUACGCUUUUGCUUAAAGUUUAACUUUUUCGCUUUUUCUUCUGAGUUCCGGAGCGAGGAGAAGUACGGUCAGUACUAGUGCCGUGCUAUAAGGAAGAAAGCCGUAUGAAAAUUCGAGAGUUGCCACAUUGCCCCGGUUAAAACAUUUGUUUUUGAAGACAAAAAUGCGUAUUUUUCCUUGAAAUUUUCAGACGUUUUAGAUAAAAUUGCUGACAAAAUUGUCUGAAAAAAUUCAAGCAAAAUAUUCACGAUUUUCCCAGUAAAUUGGACUUUACUUGAAGGAAAUAAGGCAACGUCUGAAUACUCAUACGGCGUUCUUCCGUAGCACGGCAGACUACGUCACCUUCCGGCCAAAGUAUCACAAGCGCCAUGCGACGUUCACAAAUUUCCGCCGCCAUUUUAUUUUUUUACAGAGAAAUUUUUGGUUAAAUCUGUUUGAAAAUUUGACUGAAUUUUAUCGGUAGCACAAAGAAAAUUCAGUGAAAUUUUCGGACGGAUUAAUAGAGAAUUUGCAAUGUGCCUGAAAUUUGAUGAAUUUCGUGUUUAAGUGGAAACUGCUGAGUUAACUGAACACGAGGGAUACCCUUGGUUCAUGAAUUGAACAAUAAUUAUUGGAGAAGAUAUGACAAAAUUAUCUAAUCUGCUAAGAUACAUGUGUUUAAAUGGGAAAUUCCGUCAGAUGACGUCACUACGCGGUGCAUUUUCUUUCGGUGCACUUUUAAAUCGAUUUUUUAUACUAUUUCCCAUAUCAGAGAGAAAUUAUAAAAAAUACUGUGAAAUUAACUCUUUAAGCACUUUCAGAUGAAGCAAUAAAAAAUUUGCAUGCAAAUUCUCAAAAAAAAGGAAAAUGGGGGAGGAAAUUUUUA
rnacentral:lncRNA from 1 species